rnacentral:tRNA from 1 species
UGGGGGAUCGUUCAAUGGCAGGACAACGGACUCUGACUCCGUGAAUAGGGGUUCAAAUCCCUUUCCCCCAGCCA